rnacentral:sRNA from 1 species
AAGCUAGCAGGGUAUGAUUGAAAUAA